rnacentral:rRNA from 1 species
GACGAACGCUGGCGGCGUGCUUAACACAUGCAAGUCGAACGGAAAGGCCCUGCUUUUGUGGGGUGCUCGAGUGGCGAACGGGUGAGUAACACGUGAGUAACCUGCCCUUGACUUUGGGAUAACUUCAGGAAACUGGGGCCAAUACCGGAUAGGAGCUCCUGCUGCAUGGUGGGGGUUGGAAAGUUUCGGCGGUUGGGGAUGGACUCGCGGCUUAUCAGCUUGUUGGUGGGGUAGUGGCUUACCAAGGCUUUGACGGGUAGCCGGCCUGAGAGGGUGACCGGCCACAGUGGGACUGAGAUACGGCCCAGACUCCUACGGGAGGCAGCAGUGGGGAAUAUUGCACAAUGGGCGGAAGCGUGAUGCAGCAACGCCGCGUGCGGGAUGACGGCCUUCGGGUUGUAAACCGCUUUCGCCUGUGACGAAGCGUGAGUGACGGUAAUGGGUAAAGAAGCACCGGCUAACUACGUG